AUUGGAAGAGCAAAUCAGGCAGAAAAGAGGACAGAGUCAUUUUGCUCAGAAGAAACAGCAUGUGCAAAUGUGCCACAACCAUUCAAAGCAAGUUGCUGCUUAAGUCUUGCCCACAACUUUUCAUCUGAAAAGUGGAGUAGCUGAAGCAGCCAAUGCUGGUGGUUAUAAUUCUUGAGGAUGCAACAGUAAGAACGGUAAGAAAUAUUCUGCAUGUCAAGGGUCUAAUGAAGCCUCCUGGUUUGGGCUGGGCCAGGCACGGGGAAAGAGGAAAGGAAAUAACCCCCGAAGCCUUUGCAACUAAGGACAUGUAUCCUUCAGACAAGUGUUUACUGGGCAACUUCUUCGUGCUGUAAUUGAGUGUGGCCGAUUGCUCACAAAGAUGUUUGCAAAAUCCCUCCUGUCCCCUAACUCACUUCUCCUUGCAGUGUCACUCUGCCAACUUCUCCUGUCGAUUGGUGAAGACUGUUUCUCCUCCCCCUUGAAUAUGGGCUGGGCUUGUAACUUGCUUGACCAAUAGAAUGCAGAGAAAUGAAAUGCAGCCUUCAACAUUCAAGGCUAUGCUCAAGGAGUCUAACCCUGUGGAUAUGCUGUUGUCAAAUGAGGGAGCUUCGAUUAGCCUGUUGAAGACACACAGACGACCCGACAGGCAAUACCAACAUUCAGAUAUGCAAGUUAUGCUGUCUUAGACCAUGCUGCCCAGGUGAACUUUUAGACGACUGCAAUUUGUGAGUGACUCUAGGCAAGACCAGAAGAAACUUCUAGCUAAAUCUAAACCAAAUGCCAACUCAGAAUUGUAAGCAAAUAAAACGGUUGUUGUUUAAAGACACUAACUUUUGGGGUGUUUUGCCACACCUCAAUACAUAACUGUUACACUAAUUAUUUUUCAUUGUGAAAUCUUCAGCGUCUUAUUCUGUAAUCAAACCAGAAUGUCCUUGCCUUCUUAGCACUUUGCCACAGUCCAGUGGGGUGAAUAGACAGCAGCUGCUCAUUUAUGCUCAUGCUCAUGUUCAUAAUUUGCAUUUGGACUAAAAGGAGCUCUGUUCUCCAGGACAGAACUAUUCUAAAGCUCUUCAGGAACAGGAACAGGAGUCCAUCACAGACAGCGAAAUCAAAAGCGCCCUACAUAGAGGCAUCCAGACUGAGAGCUGAAAGGGAUCUGGGAAAUCAUUUAGUCUCACUCCCUCAUUUUCCAUUCAGACCACAGGGAUGAAAGAACUUGCUGAAGUUCUCACAGCUCUGUAGUGGCACAGUCAGAACAAGGAUCCCAAUCUCCUAACUACUAACAUAAAAUGCUUUCAGCAUGCAAGUUGAGCAUACAAUGGGACAGUUUAAAUUUAAAUGGUGUUUUGAGCAAGGGGAGAGUCUAAUUAAUUACUUCAAAGUAUAAUUUUGGAGUCACCAGAAAGGCGUUAAAGACAAAAAAAUGCUUUGGAACCUAGGUGCUUCAUAUCUGAAAUUGGGGCAGGUACAGGUGUAUUCCUACCACUAAAGGGUCAUUAGUUGGUUGGGUAGUCCUUUAGUGUUCUUGGUACUAAGCACAAAACAUGGGUAAGAUGGUUCAAGGCUGGUUGUGGUGGCUCAUGCCUAUAGCCCCAGCAUUUUAGGAGGCCAAGGCUGGAGGAUAGCUUGAGCCCAGGAAUUCGAGACAAGCCUGGGCAAUAUCGCAAGACCUUGUCUCUACAAAUAAUAAUUUCUUAAGAAUUGGCUGGGCAUGGUGGCACACACCUGUAGGCUAUUUGAGAGGUUGAGGUGGGAGGAUUGCUUUAGUGUGGGAGGCUGAGGCUGCAAUGAGGUGAUCACACUAUGGUACUACAGCCUGAGAAACAGUGUAAGAUCCUGCCUCAAAAAAAAAAAGUUUAUGUUCUCAAAGUGCUCAUAAUCUAGUGGUAGUACAGUAUUUGAGAUAUUAGAGCAGUUUCUCCUCCUUUUGCAACUAAGGACAUGUAUCUUUAAAGCAGAAGGAAUGGCAGAGUCGUGUAAUAAACCCUCAAGUACCAUUACUUAGCUUCAACAACUAUCGACACUCUACUGUUCUUGUUUCAUUUAUGCCUCACCUCCUUCCCAUCCCCCACUUGAAUAUUCUCAUCCUUUUUUUUUACAGUUUUUAAGAUAACAAUUACAUAACUGAAAUGCACAAAUCUUAGCUGUACAGUUUUGACAUAUGGAUACACCUGUGUAACCAAUGACUGUAUCACAACAUAGAGCAUUUCAUCUCCCCAGCAAGAUCCAUGUGUCUUUUCCUAGUUAAUGCCUCUUUAUUUCUGAGAUGGUUAUUGCUCUGCUUUUGUUUUUCAUGUUAGGCUAGUCUUGCCUGUUCUAGAAUUUCAUAUAACUGAGAACAUACAGAAUGUACUCACUAGUAGUGUCUGACUUUUUCACAAAGGAUAAUGUCUGUGGUAUUCAUUCAUGCUGUUGUAUGCAUCAGUAGUUUAUUUUCUUUUUACUAUUAAGUAGUGUUCUAAGGACUAUUUUAAUAGCAUCCCACAAAGGGGGUAUGAUAUGUUCUAUUUACAUUAUUAUUUGGUUUGUAAUAUUUUAUAUUUUCUCUUGUGAUUUCUCCUUUCACUCAUGAAUUAUUAUAAUAAAUUUUUUAAAGUGUAUUAUAAUAUAUUUAGUGAAACUGUAUUAUUUGAUUUACUAAUGUCUGGUGCUUUUGUAUCUGGUG
rnacentral:lncRNA from 10 species